rnacentral:rRNA from 1 species
AUUGAACGCUGGCGGCAUGCUUUACACAUGCAAGUCGAACGGCAGCGCGGGCUUCGUCCUGGCGGCGAGUGGCGAACGGGUGAGUAAUGCAUCGGAACGUGCCCAGUAGUGGGGGAUAGCCCGUCGAAAGCCGGAUUAAUACCGCAUACGACCUGAGGGUGAAAGCGGGGGACCGAAAGGCCUCGCGCUAUUGUAGCGGCCGAUGUCGGAUUAUCUAGUUGGUGGGGUAAAGGCUUACCAAGGCGACGAUCCGUAGCUGGUCUGAGAGGACGACCAGCCACACUGGGAAGGAGACACGGACCAGACUCAUACGGGAGGCAGCAGUGGGGAAUUUUGGACAAUGGGGGCAACCCUGAUACAGCCAUGCCGCGUGCGGGAAGAAGGCAUUCGGGUUGUAAACCGCUUUUGUUCGGGAAGAAAUCCUGUGGGCUAAUAACCCGGGGGGAUGACGGUACCGGAAGAAUAAGCACCGGCUAACUACGUG